UACGAAGGGGGGCUAGCGUUGUUCGGAAUCACUGGGCGUAAAGGGCGCGUAGGCGGCUUUAUAAGUCGGGGGUGGAAAGCCUGUGGCUCAACCACAGAAUUGCCUUCGAUACUGUAGAGCUUGAGACCGGAAGAGGUAAGUGGAACUGCGAGUGUAGAGGUGAAAUUCGUAGAUAUUCGCAAGAACACCAGUGGCGAAGGCGGCUUACUGGUCCGGUUCUGACGCUGAGGCGCGAAAGCGUGGGGAGCAAACAGG
rnacentral:rRNA from 1 species